GUACUACUCCCUCCGUCCAAAAAUACUUGUCAUCAAAAUACAUGAAAAGGGAUGAAUCUAGAACUAAAAUACAUCUAGAUACAUCCCUUUUUAUUCUUUUUGAUGACAAGUAUUUUCGGACGGAGGGAGUCCUUG
rfam:Triticum aestivum genome assembly, contig: Triticum_aestivum_CS42_TGACv1_scaffold_031185_1BL